rnacentral:rRNA from 1 species
CCUACGGGAGGCAGCAGUGAGGAAUAUUGGUCAAUGGACGAGAGUCUGCACCAGCCAAGUAGCGUGAAGGAUGACUGCCCUAUUGGUUGUAAACUUCUUUUAUAUGGGAAUAAAAUGUUCACCGUGUGGGUUUUUGUAUGUACCAUAUGAAUAAGGAUCGGCUAACUCCGUGCCAGCAGCCGCGGUAAUACGGAGGAUCCGAGCGUUAUCCGGAUUUAUUGGGUUUAAAGGGAGCGUAGAUGGAUUGGUAAGUCAGUUGUGAAAGUUUGCGGCUCAACCGUAAAAUUGCAGUUGAUACUGGCAGUCUUGAGUACAGUAGAGGUGGGCGGAAUUCGUGGUGUAGCGGUGAAAUGCUUAGAUAUCACGAAGAACCCCGAGUGCGAAGGCAGCUCACUGAACUGCAACUGACACUGAGGCUCGAAAGUGUGGGUAUCAAACAGGAUUAGAUACCCCAGUAGUC